CCUACGGGGUGCAGCAGUGGGGGAUAUUGCACAAUGGGGGGAACCCUGAUGCAGCGACGCCGCGUGGGUGAAGGAGCGUUUCGGCGCGUAAAGCCCUAUCGGCAGGGAAGAAGAUGACGGUACCUGACCAAGAAUCCCCGGCUAACUACGUGCCAGCAGCCGCGGUACUACGUAGGGGGCAAGCGUUAUCCGGAUUUACUGGGUGUUAAGGGGGCGCAGACGGCAAUGCAAGCCAGGAGUGAAAGCACGGGGCCCAACCCCGGGACUGCUAUUGGAACUGCAUGGGUGGAGUACAGGAGGGGCAGGCGGAAUUCCUAGUGUAGCGGUGAAAUGCGUAGAUAUUAGGAGGAACACCGGUGGCGAAGGCAGCAUACCGGCGCCCAACUGACGCUGACAUUGAUGCUCGAAAGUGUGGGUAUCAAACAGGAUUAGAUACCCCAGUAGUC
rnacentral:rRNA from 1 species